GGGGGUUAGGUCAAAUUUACAUGUGACGCAUCAAGUUCCUUCAAGGAACUUCUUCUUCUCCCUCAACGCUUUCAUGGCCGCGGCGGUGAUUCACUUUUUCCCGAUCAAAAUUUCGGCCGUUCCCUCCGUCAUGAUCUCGCCUCCACCUCUUAUCUUUCGUUCCUCCGCAAUCCGAUUCAAGCUCGUUCCAUUGCCUCAAUCACCCACACGACCUGAGAAGUUUCUAGUAACUCUUCGGAGAUGAUGAAGAUGAACAGAGAAUCUUGCGUGUUCAGGUACGUAUGACCUUUACUUUCCCCCGCGACUUCUUUUUCUUCUACUCUUUCUAUUUUCUGUGUGGAUGCAUCGUGAUGUCUCACGAAGAUAAUGGAGGCGAUGAUGACUUGUAUCUUUUUGCAGAUUGAUGAUGGUAUCGGAGAACGAAGAUGAUUAUGUGGAAGAAGAUGAUGAUGGUGUGAAUGCUUAUUAUGGUGAUUUCUUCAGAGGUAUUGAUCGAAAACGAUGUUGUAGAGGAGAUUCUUGAAGAUUUAUUCUAACGAUGAAUGUUGCUGUGACCUGAAGUGAAGAUUAAGGGUUGGAGUUUUGCAGUGAUGAACGAUUGAAGAUUGAGAGUUCAAUUUUUUGAAGGUUGAAGAAUGAUUGUAGGGAGAAGAUGAAGGAGAUAGAAUCUCGUGUGUUUUCAAGCUUUUUUCUUGGAGAAUUGAGAUGCGUAGAUUGAAGAUUCCAGAGUCAGAGAAGAGAGUUUUUUAUGAUUUGAUUUUGUUUGAUGCUAAGAACCGAUUCGGCUUAGCUAGCGCUUGCAGUAUGUUUUGUGAUGCAACUGGUGCAAUUCUGUCUAGGUUGAAGUUGCAAGGAUUUGAGUGGGACAUUGGCAAAGGCUUGGGCGGUUUGAAUUUGGCUGAUUUAAUUUUUGUGUUGUUUGAAUUGUAUUGAUUUUUGGAUGUAAUAAAUGUGGAUGUAAUUUUGCUAGUAUAAUCUUUUUAAUCAACUUGAAUGAACAAAGAAGAUCCUAAAGAAUAAAGAAGAUCCUCGGCCAGAAACUGAUUAUCCUGUCCGACCAAUCCUCGACGGAGACAUCGAGCUCAUCCCCCUCGGCUA